rnacentral:ribozyme from 14 species
UUUUUUUUCCUUCUUUUUGCAUCACCCACCGCUUUGAUCGCGUGGAUGCUAUUGGGUAUUUGGACAAAGACGCGAAGGAACGUCGCUGUUAGGACGUAUUAAGAACAGAACCUCCCAAGAAAAGAAGUGUUGACACCGUUUUGUCAAUUUUAAUUUUCUCGUACGUACGGGGAAUACGCAUAUCAAAUAUCGCAUUUUGAAAAAAAAUCCAAGGCAGGGCACGACUCAAUUGAAUCUGUUAAAUAACAGCGACGUCAUAUUUUUGUAUUG